UACGAAGGGUGCAAGCGUUACUCGGAAUUACUGGGCGUAAAGCGCGCGUAGGUGGUGUGUUAAGUCUGCCGGUCAAAUGCCGACGGCUCAACCUCGUUGCACGCCGGGGAUACUGGCACGCUAGAGACAAGUAGAGGCAAGCGGAAUUCCGGGUGUAGCGGUGGAAUGCGUAGAGAUCCGGAAGAACACCGGAGGCGAAGGCGGCUUGCUGGGCUUGGUCUGACGCUGAGGCGCGAAAGCGUGGGGAGCGAACAGG
rnacentral:rRNA from 1 species